GUGACGAGCGGCGGACGGGUGAGUAAUGUCUGGGAAACUGCCUGAUGGAGGGGGAUAACUACUGGAAACGGUAGCUAAUACCGCAUAACGUCGCAAGACCAAAGAGGGGGACCUUCGGGCCUCUUGCCAUCAGAUGUGCCCAGAUGGGAUUAGCUAGUAGGUGGGGUAACGGCUCACCUAGGCGACGAUCCCUAGCUGGUCUGAGAGGAUGACCAGCCACACUGGAACUGAGACACGGUCCAGACUCCUACGGGAGGCAGCAGUGGGGAAUAUUGCACAAUGGGCGCAAGCCUGAUGCAGCCAUGCCGCGUGUAUGAAGAAGGCCUUCGGGUUGUAAAGUACUUUCAGCGGGGAGGGAGGUGUUGUGGUUAAUAACCACAGCAAUUGACGUUACCCGCAGAAGAAGCACCGGCUAACUCCGUGCCAGCAGCCGCGGUAAUACGGAGGGUGCAAGCGUUAAUCGGAAUUACUGGGCGUAAAGCGCACGCAGGCGGUCUGUCAAGUCGGAUGUGAAAUCCCCGGGCUCAACCUGGGAACUGCAUUCGAAACUGGCAGGCUAGAGUCUUGUAAGGGGGGUAGAAUUCCAGGUGUACGGUGAAA
rnacentral:rRNA from 1 species